AGAGAUAUUAUGAGUAUUGGUGAGAGAAAAUAAUAAAGGUCUAAUAAGUAUUAUGUAAGAAGUAUGUAAGAAAAUAGGAUAACAAAUUCUAAGACUAAAUACUAUUAAUAAGUAUAAUAAGUACCGUAAGGGAAAGUAUGAAAAUGAUUAUUUUAUAAGCAAUCAUGGAUAUAAUUUUAAUAUUAAUGAUGUACCUUUUGUAUAAUGGGUCAGCAAGUAAUUAAUAUUAGUAAAACAAUAAAGUUAUAAAUAAAUAGAAAAAGUAUAUAUAUAAAAAAAUAUAUUAAAAUAUUUAAUUAAUAUUAAUUGACCCGAAAGCAAACGAUCUAACUAUGAUAAGAUGGGUAAACGAUCGAACAGGUUGAUGUUGCAAUAUCAUCUGAUUAAUUGUGGUUAGUAGUGAAAGACAAAUCUGGUUUGCAGAUAGCUGGUUUUCUAUGAAAUAUAUGUAAGUAUAGCCUUUAUAAAUAAUAAUUAUUAUAUAAUAUUAAAAUAAUAUUAUAUAAAGAAUGGUACAGCAAUUAAUAUAUAUUAGGGAACUAUAAAAGUUUUAUUAAUAAUAUUAAAUCUCGAAAUGUUUAAUUAUAUAUAAUAAAGAGUCAGAUUAUGUGCGAUAAGGUAAAUAAUCAAAAGGGGAAACAGCCCAGAUUAAGAUAUAAAGUUCCUAAUAAAUAAUAAGUGAAAAAAAUAUUAAAAUAUUAUAAUAUAAUCAGUUAAUGGGUUUGACAAUAACCAUUUUUU
rnacentral:rRNA from 1 species